GAUGAACGCUGGCGGCGUGCCUAAUACAUGCAAGUCGAGCGAACAGAUGAGGAGCUUGCUCCUCUGACGUUAGCGGCGGACGGGUGAGUAACACGUGGAUAACCUACCUAUAAGACUGGGAUAACUUCGGGAAACCGGAGCUAAUACCGGAUAAUAUAUUGAACCGCAUGGUUCAAUAGUGAAAGACGGUUUUGCUGUCACUUAUAGAUGGAUCCGCGCCGCAUUAGCUAGUUGGUAAGGUAACGGCUUACCAAGGCAACGAUGCGUAGCCGACCUGAGAGGGUGAUCGGCCACACUGGAACUGAGACACGGUCCAGACUCCUACGGGAGGCAGCAGUAGGGAAUCGUCGGCAAUGGGCGAAAGCCUGACGGAGCAACGCCGCGUGAGUGAUGAAGGUCUUCGGAUCGUAAAACUCUGUUAUUAGGGAAGAACAAAUGUGUAAGUAACUAUGCACGUCUUGACGGUACCUAAUCAGAAAGCCACGGCUAACUACGUG
rnacentral:rRNA from 1 species